rnacentral:rRNA from 1 species
AGCGAACGCUGGCGGUACGCCUAACACAUGCAAGUCGAACGGCAUCACAGUAAGAGCUUGCUCUUACGGGUGGCGAGUGGCGGAUGGGUGAGGAAUACAUCGGAAUCUACUUUGUCGUGGAGGAUAACUUAGGGAAACUGACGCUAAUACCUCAUACCACCUACGUGUAAAGGUCUGCGGUCUUCGGACUUAUUCCGAUUAAGUUGGCCUAUGUCUGAUUUGCUAGGUGGCGGAGUAAAGGCCCACCAAGGCGGCCGUCCGUAGCUGGUCUGAGAGGAUGAUCAGCCACACUGGAACUGAGACACGGUGCAGACUCCUGCGGGGGGCAGCAGUGGGGACUAUUGGAGGAUGGGCGAAAGCCUGAUACAGCCCUACCGGGUGGAUGAAGAAGGCCCUCGGCUUGUAAAGCCAUUUUGUUGGGAGAGAAAAGCAGCAGGUUAAUACGCCGCUGUUCUGACGGUACCCAACGAAUAAGCACCGGCUAACUUCGUG